rnacentral:rRNA from 1 species
CAUGGCCUUAUUGAUAAUAAUUUAAGGUCGGGUCUGCUCAAUGAAUUUUAAAUAGCCGCAGUAUUUUGACUGUGCGAAGGUAGCAUAAUAAUUAGUUUCUUAAUUAGGAACUGGAAUGAAUGAUUGGACAAGAAAAUUACUGUCUCUUUUUUAAUUGUUGAAUUUUAUUUUUAAGUGAAAAAGCUUAAAUGUUUGUAAAAGACGAGAAGACCCUAUAGAGUUUAACAUUUUUUUUUAAUUUGUUAUUAGUAUAAUUUUUUAAAUAUAAUUGUUUGGUUGGGGUGAUUGAAGGAUAUAAUUAAUUCUUUUAGAUUUUAAUUAAAAAUUUUUAAAUUUUUAAUCUAUAAUUUGUAAAAUUAAAAUAAAUUACCUUAGGGAUAACAGCGUAAUUUUUCUUUAAAGUUCUUAUUGUAAGGAAAGUUUGCGACCUCGAUGUUGGAUUAAAAUAAAUUUUUGGUGCAGUAACUGAAAAAUUAGGUCUGUUCGACCUUUAAAAUUUUACAUGAUCUGAGUUUAGACCGGUGUGAACCAGGUUGGAUUCUAUCUUUAUAUAUUUUUUUAUAUUUUAGUACGAAAGGACCAAAUAUAAGUUAAAUUAAUUGU